UCUCUGUUAGUAUAUCGGUUAGUACACGCGCCUGUCAUGACGCAAUGGCCGCGCGAAAGCUGGGUUCGACUCCCAGACAGAGAG